GAAGGGUUUAGACUUUGGUGAAGAAGGUGUGGCUUAGAAAUAAAUAGGGUGUGGCUUUAGAGGAUGACAGAGAUGCUUGUGAAGAGCAUGGAGGCUAAGGGGUGUGAUGUAUAUGUUAAGGGGUGUGAUUUAUAUGUUAAGGGGGGUGAUUUAUAUGUUAAGGGGUGUGAUUUAUAUGUUAAGGGGUGUGAUGUAUAUGUUAAGGGGUGUGAUGUAUAUAUUAAGGGGUGUGAUUUAUAUGUUAAGGUGUGUGGUUUAUAUGUUAAGGGGUGUGAUUUAUAUGUUAAGGAGGUGAUUUAUAUGUUAAGGGGUGUGAUGUAUAUGUUAAGGCGUGUAAACUCAGAUUUACUAUGAGAAAAAUUGGAUUACCUUUGCUGUUCUUCGUCAGAAUGCACUCCCAGGACUUCUACUUCAAUAACAAAUGU
rnacentral:lncRNA from 1 species